GAUGAACGCUGGCGGCGUGCCUAAUACAUGCAAGUCGAGCGAACAGACGAGGAGCUUGCUCCUCUGACGUUAGCGGCGGACGGGUGAGUAACACGUGGAUAACCUACCUAUAAGACUGGGAUAACUUCGGGAAACCGGAGCUAAUACCGGAUAAUAUAUUGAACCGCAUGGUUCAAUAGUGAAAGACGGUUUUGCUGUCACUUAUAGAUGGAUCCGCGCCGCAUUAGCUAGUUGGUAAGGUAACGGCUUACCAAGGCGACGAUGCGUAGCCGACCUGAGAGGGUGAUCGGCCACACUGGAACUGAGACACGGUCCAGACUCCUACGGGAGGCAGCAGUAGGGAAUAUUCCGCAAUGGGCGAAAGCCUGACGGAGCAACGCCGCGUGAGUGAUGAAGGUCUUCGGAUCGUAAAACUCUGUUAUUAGGGAAGAACAAAUGUGUAAGUAACUAUGCACGUCUUGACGGUACCAAAACAGAAAGCCACGGCUAACUACGUG
rnacentral:rRNA from 1 species